AUUGAACGCUGGCGGCAGGCCUAACACAUGCAAGUCGAGCGAGCGGCGGACGGGGGAGGAAUGCUUCGGAAUCUGCCUUUUCGCGGGGGAGAACGAAGGCAACCUUAAGCUGUUACCGCAUACACUAAGCAGCGCCGACGCCGGAUUAGCUAGUUGGCGGGGUAAAGGUCCACCAAGGCGACGAUCCGUAGCUGGUCUGAGAGGAUGAUCAGCCACACUGGAACUGAGACACGGUCCAGACUCCUACGGGAGGCAGCAGUGGGGAAUAUUGGACAAUGGGCGCAAGCCUGAUACAGCCAUGCCGCGUGAGUGAAGAAGGCCUUCGGGUUGUAAAGCUCUUUUGUUGGGGAAGCGGUACCCAAAGAAUAAGCACCGGCUAACUUCGUGCCAGCAGCCGCGGUAAUAC
rnacentral:rRNA from 1 species